UGGCGGCGUGCUAUACAUGCAAGUCGAGCGGACCUGAUGGAGUGCUUGCACUCCUGAUGGUUAGCGGCGGACGGGUGAGUAACACGUAGGCAACCUGCCCGUAAGACCGGGAUAACUACCGGAAACGGUAGCUAAUACCGGAUAAUCAAGUCUUCCGCAUGGGAGGCUUGGGAAAGGCGGAGCAAUCUGUCACUUACGGAUGGGCCUGCGGCGCAUUAGCUAGUUGGUGGGGUAACGGCUCACCAAGGCGACGAUGCGUAGCCGACCUGAGAGGGUGAACGGCCACACUGGGACUGAGACACGGCCCAGACUCCUACGGGAGGCAGCAGUAGGGAAUCUUCCGCAAUGGACGAAAGUCUGACGGAGCAACGCCGCGUGAGUGAUGAAGGUUUUCGGAUCGUAAAGCUCUGUUGCCAGGGAAGAACGUCUUCUGGAGUAACUGCCAGGAGAGUGACGGUACCUGAGAAGAAAGCCCCGGCUAACUACGUGCCAGCAGCCGCGGUAAUACGUAGGGGGCAAGCGUUGUCCGGAAUUAUUGGGCGUAAGAG
rnacentral:rRNA from 1 species